AGAGUUUGAUCAUGGCUCAGGACGAACGCUGGCGGCGUGCCUUACCCAUGCAAGUCGGACGGCGAGGGUGUGAGCCCUUGCAGUGGCAGACGGCUGAGUAACACGUGAGGACCUAUCCAGUUGAGGGGGAUAGCCGCUCGAAAGAGCGGGUAAUACCGCGUGAGCUUGCCGAGGGUAGACCUUGGCGAGGAGAGCAGUGGGGCAACCUAGUGCGCGACUGGCGGGACUCGCGGCCCAUCAGGUAGUAGGUGGGGUGACGGCCCACCUAGCCGAUGACGGGUAGCUGGUCUGAGAGGAUGGCCAGCCAGACUGGGACUGAGAGACGGCCCAGACUCCUACGGGGGGCAGCAGGGGGGGAUCUUGGUCAAUGGGGGAAACCCUGAACCAGCGACGCCGCGUGAGGGAAGAAGGUCUUUGGAUCGUAAACCUCUUUUGCCAGGGAAGAAGGCGAGCUCUGUAACAGGGGCCUGCUUGACGGUACCUGGCGAAUAAGCCCCGGCUAACUCUGUGCCAGCCGCCGCGGUAAUUC
rnacentral:rRNA from 1 species